rfam:Sorghum bicolor cultivar BTx623 chromosome 10, whole genome shotgun sequence.
UUCCAUGGUGAGGACAAUCUGAUAUAUAUCCUUGAAAACGCUCCCAUGCUUCUGGAAUGGUUUCUAUCUUCUGCUGUUGGAAACUGACAAUAUUUUCUCUUAAGGCA